rnacentral:rRNA from 1 species
CCUACGGGAGGCAGCAGUGAGGAAUAUUGGUCAAUGGACGAGAGUCUGAACCAGCCAAGUAGCGUGAAGGAUGACUGCCCUAUGGGUUGUAAACUUCUUUUAUAAAGGAAUAAAACGAGGCACGUGUGCCUUUUUGCAUGUACUUUAUGAAUAAGGAUCGGCUAACUCCGUGCCAGCAGCCGCGGUAAUACGGAGGAUCCGAGCGUUAUCCGGAUUUAUUGGGUUGAAAGGGAGCGUAGAUGGGUUGUUAAGUCAGUUGUGAAAGUUUGCGGCUCAACCGUAAAAUUGCAAUUGAUACUGGCAGUCGUGAGUACAGUUGAGGUAAGCGGAAUUCGUGGUGUAGCGGUGAAAUGCUUAGAUAUCACGAAGAACCCCGAUUGCGAAGGCAGCUUACUAAACUGUGACUGACAUUGAUGCUCGAAAGUGUGGGUAUCAAACAGGAUUAGAUACCCUAGUAGUC